CCAGCAUAUACGCAAGUUAUUGGGUAGUAAACCUAAUUUAAAAGAUAAAAAGCAUAAUGAAAGUAAAGAUUAUCUUUGGUAUAAUGAUGUGAUCCAUAUAUAUAUUUGUAUUGUAUAUGUAAAGUAUAUUACGUGGUGUAACACAACCCCAUUCCUGUUGCUUGCAGUAGGGCGGAGGUAGAGCAUUAUAUUCUGGGACUCGAAAGUGAACUAUACCUAAGUAGGAUGAAGCCAGAGGAAACUCUGGUGAAGUCCGAAGCGAUUCUGACGUGUAAAUCGAUCGUCUGACUUUGAUAUUUGGGCGACAAAUCGAACUAUCAUCUAG
rnacentral:ncRNA from 1 species